rnacentral:rRNA from 1 species
AGUGAACGCUGGCGGUAGGCCUAACACAUGCAAGCCGAACGGCAGCACAGUAAGAGCUUGCUCUUACGGGUGGCGAGUGGCGGACGGGUGAGGAAUACAUCGGAAUCUACUUUUUCGUGGGGGAUAACGUAGGGAAACUUACGCUAAUACCGCAUACGACCUACGGGUGAAAGCAGGGGAUCUUCGGACCUUGCGCGAUUGAAUGAGCCGAUGUCGGAUUAGCUAGUUGGCGGGGUAAAGGCCCACCAAGGCGACGAUCCGUAGCUGGUCUGAGAGGAUGAUCAGCCACACUGGAACUGAGACACGGUCCAGACUCCUACGGGAGGCAGCAGUGGGGAAUAUUGGACAAUGGGCGCAAGCCUGAUCCAGCCAUACCGCAUGGGUGAAGAAGGCCUUCGGGUUGUAAAGCCCUUUUGUUGGGAAAGAAAAGCAGCAGGUUAAUACCCCGCUGUUCUGACGGUACCCAAAGAAUAAGCACCGGCUAACUUCGUG